GAUGAAGAUCGUAGCGAAAUGCGAUAAGUAAUGUGAAUUGCAGAAUUCAGUGAAUCAUCGAGUCUUUGAACGCACAUUGCGCCCCCUGGUAUUCCGGGGGGCAUGCCUGUCCGAGCGUCAUUGCUGCCCUCAAGCACGGCUUGUGUGUUGGGCCGUCGUCCCCCUCCUAGGGGACGGGCCCGAAAGGCAGCGGCGGCACCGCGUCCGGUCCUCGAGCGUAUGGGGCUUCGUCACCCGCUCCGUAGGCCCGGCCGGCGCUUGCCGACGACCAUCAAUCUCUUUCUCCAGGUUGACCUCGGAUCAGGUAGGGAUACCCGCUGAACUUAAGCAUAUCAAUAAGCGGAGGA
rnacentral:misc_RNA from 1 species